rnacentral:rRNA from 1 species
UACGUAGGGUGCGAGCGUUAUUCGGAAUUACUGGGCGUAAAGCGUGCGCAGGCGGUUUUGUAAGCCAGAUGUGAAAUCCCCGGGCUUAACCUGGGAAUGGCAUUUGGGACUGCAAGGCUGGAGUGCGGCAGAGGAGACUGGAAUUCCUGGUGUAGCAGUGAAAUGCGUAGAUAUCAGGAGGAACACCGAUGGCGAAGGCAGGUCUCUGGGCUGACACUGACGCUCAUGCACGAAAGCGUGGGGAGCAAACAGG